rnacentral:lncRNA from 1 species
UCUCAACGAGAGUGCAGGAGAGGUAGGGUAAGCCACUAGUGUGCAUGCCCUGGUUGUGGACUCCCUACUUCUCCCCCAGGCUGCUCUGUGUCAAGAGGAAGCAGCCCUUCCCACUAGACCUACUUCCUGCUUGGCUCUUGUGUAAGAUAUGGUGAAACCAGUAUGAAUCCAGCAGUCUCCACUUUUGCCUACCCACCAACCUUAAAAACUAUAAAGAAACUAAAACUGGGUGAGUUCAAGAGUGACCUGGCUAACUCAAGACGACUGUCUCAAAAGCAGUGUAGCCCAGCUGCCCAGCAUGUGCAAGGCCCUCACCCCGGACAUUCCCGUAUUUCUAGGUUAUCAGUCCUGGGACCAACGUAUUUCAAAUUCUGUAUUUACACAAUAAGUGAUCAUCCUUUUCACAUGUUUGUAAAAGGAAACUGUUCACGUUCAGUUCCGCUAUGAGAAAGGAGUUACGCAGCCAAGGGCACGGCAGUCCUCCACGAAGCCCCGGCCUGAGUGCUGUCUGUCCGAGGGCGUGCUCACACAUUCUAUUGCAUUCACGAGAUGUUUUCUGUGUUGUGCAUUUUUGGGGUCCUGUGAAAUGAUAAGGUUCCUUUACAAGUAAAUCUCACUAAAUUGAAAACCAAUGGAACUCUCUUCAACAGGGAAGAAGCUCUCUGAGGAACCUGUGUGUGCAUGGUGAUGGAUGACUACCGCCAAGUCCCAAGAAAACAGAUUUCAAGAGCCAAAUCAUUUUCUCUGUGGCCUGGUCCUAGGUCAAAAUUCUACAGAAAUCAAUGUUUUGUCUUAUUUUUUAACCUCAUUACCAAACUCACUGGGUGCAUCUCUCAGUCAAGCCUGUGCGGCCCUGCCUGGGAUGGAGGCAUGUUUUGUUUACUGGGUAUUUGCAUUUCUGGAUGGAAAUGUUGUAUUUCCGAAAACUGAGUAUUUGUAAUUUUCCUAACAUUUUUAUACUGUAAUAAAAAAUUUUCAUAAAAAUUUACAGUUACUAAAUUAGACAAAGUAUAAAUUGGGGAAUGAUUGAUAUGCUGGUUUCGUAAAGGAGGCCUUUCCAGUCCCAGUGAGCAAACGGUCUGACCUGGACGGGAAGCUGGGGAGCCGCUCCUUAGCACACGGAGCAUGGAUGUGUUGUUAGGUGGCCCUCCCGUGUGAAGCCAUUAGAACUUUCUUUAGUUCCUGUACUCUACAACUUAUAAUUGUGUCUGAUGCUUUGAAAAGUGUGCUCAUGCCUUUAAAAAUGUUUAAAUGUGAUCUACACUUAGAACGUUGCAAUUGGUUAAAAACAAAAUAUGAAGAUAUUAUAACCUAAAAGAAUUCAUGUCACACAUAUUUUAUUGGGGGUGAUGUGCCUUUGAUUUAAUUGGGGACACUUUUAGAAGGAAAGUUUGUGUUUGUGAUUAUCUUUGAAGAGCUUGGAAAUAAAAUUUUUGCCUAAUUCAUCAUUUUCCAUGACAACA